CACAUCUCGUCGGGGUGUCGAUCGAUGUGAAAUCCGGCCUUGCUCGCCGGGUUUUGCGCUCCCUCCGCCAAAAGUCCGGUUUUCGUGCAAGGGUUUUGGGUGGAUGAAGGGGCCGGGGCCGCGCAGCGGCCGGCCGGAACCCGCCGGACUGAGAGGCCGGAGGUUCGUCCGCCGGCCAACCCGUCGAACCUGAACCGGGUCAUGCCGGCGGAGGAAAUCGGGAUGGAAUCCACA
rnacentral:ncRNA from 1 species